rnacentral:rRNA from 1 species
AAGCGGCGAACGGGUGAGGAAUACAUGGGUAACCUACCCUCGAGUGGGGAAUAACUAGCCGAAAGGUUAGCUAAUACCGCGUACGCUUCUUGGACUUCGGUUCAGGGAGGAAAGCGAUACCGUAGGUAUCGCGCUCUUGGAUGGGCUCAUGUCCUAUCAGCUUGUUGGUGAGGUAACGGCUCACCAAGGCUUCGACGGGUAGCUGGUCUGAGAGGACGAUCAGCCACACUGGCACUGCGACACGGGCCAGACUCCUACGGGAGGCAGCAGUAAGGAAUAUUGCGCAAUGGGCGAAAGCCUGACGCAGCGACGCCGCGUGGGGGAUGAAGGUCUUCGGAUUGUAAGCCCCUUUCGGGAGGGAAGAUGGAAUGGGGUAACCCAUUCGGACGGUACCUCCAGAAGCAGCCACGGCUAACUUCGUGCCAGCAGCCGCGGUAAUACGAAGGUGGCAAGCGUUGUUCGGAUUUACUGGGCGUACAGGGAGCGUAGGCGGUUCGGUAAGCCCUUUGUGAAAUCUCCAGGCUUAACCUGGAACAGUCGGAGGGGACUGCCGGGCUAGAGGACGGGAGAGGAGCGCGGAAUUCCCGGUGUAGCGGUGAAAUGCGUAGAGAUCGGGAGGAAGGCCGGUGGCGAAGGCGGCGCUCUGGAACGUUUC